ACAAGUAGCGGAGCAUGUGGUUUAAUUCGAAGCAACGCGAAGAACCUUACCUAAGCUUGACAUCCCAAUGACAUCUCCUUAAUCGGAGAGUUCCUUUCGGGGACAUUGGUGACAGGUGGUGCAUGGUUGUCGUCAGCUCGUGUCGUGAGAUGUUGGGUUAAGUCCCGCAACGAGCGCAACCCUUGUCUUUAGUUGCCAUCAUUAAGUUGGGCACUCUAGAGA
rnacentral:rRNA from 1 species